GUGGGGAAUAUUGGACAAUGGGCGCAAGCCUGAUCCGGCCAUGCCGCGUGAGUGAUGAAGGCCUUAGGGUUGUAAAGCUCUUUCACCGAUGAAGAUAAUGACGGUAGUCGGAGAAGAAGCCCCGGCUAACUUCGUGCCAGCAGCCGCGGUAAUACGAAGGGGGCUAGCGUUGUUCGGAUUUACUGGGCGUAAAGCGCACGUAGGCGGUUUGUUAAGUCAGGGGUGAAAUCCCGGAGCUCAACUCCGGAACUGCCUUUGAUACUGGCAAGCUAGAGUCCGGAAGAGGUAAGUGGAACUCCUAGUGUAGAGGUGGAAUUCGUAGAUAUUAGGAAGAACACCAGUGGCGAAGGCGGCUUACUGGUCCGGAACUGACGCUGAGGUGCGAAAGCGUGGGGAGCAAACAGGAUUAGAUACCCCGGUAGUCC
rnacentral:rRNA from 1 species